CCUACGGGAGGCAGCAGUGGGGAAUUUUGGACAAUGGGGGCAACCCUGAUCCAGCAAUGCCGCGUGUGUGAAGAAGGCCUUCGGGUUGUAAAGCACUUUUGUCCGGAAAGAAAUGGCGCUGGUUAAUACCCGGCGUUGAUGACGGUACCGGAAGAAUAAGCACCGGCUAACUACGUGCCAGCAGCCGCGGUAAUACGUAGGGUGCGAGCGUUAAUCGGAAUUACUGGGCGUAAAGCGUGCGCAGGCGGUUUGGUAAGACAGGCGUGAAAUCCCCGAGCUCAACUUGGGAAUGGCGCUUGUGACUGCCAGGCUAGAGUAUGUCAGAGGGGGGUAGAAUUCCACGUGUAGCAGUGAAAUGCGUAGAGAUGUGGAGGAAUACCGAUGGCGAAGGCAGCCCCCUGGGACGUCACUGACGCUCAUGCACGAAAGCGUGGGGAGCAAACAGGAUUAGAUACCCUGGUAGUCCACGCCCUAAACGAUGUCAACUAGUUGUUGGGGAUUCAUUUCUUCAGUAACGUAGCUAACGCGUGAAGUUGACCGCCUGGGGAGUACGGUCGCAAGAUUAAACGUCAAAGGAAUUGACGG
rnacentral:rRNA from 1 species